UACGAAGGGACCUAGCGUAGUUCGGAAUUACUGGGCUUAAAGAGUUCGUAGGUGGUUGAAAAAGUUAGUGGUGAAAUCCCAGAGCUUAACUCUGGAACUGCCAUUAAAACUUUUCAGCUAGAGUAUGAUAGAGGAAAGCAGAAUUUCUAGUGUAGAGGUGAAAUUCGUAGAUAUUAGAAAGAAUACCAAUUGCGAAGGCAGCUUUCUGGAUCAUUACUGACGCUGAGGAACGAAAGCAUGGGUAGCGAAGAGG
rnacentral:rRNA from 1 species